rnacentral:rRNA from 1 species
GAUGAACGCUGGCGGCGUGCUUAACACAUGCAAGUCGAACGAAGCUGCUUAACUGAUCUUCUUCGGAAUUGACGUUUUGUAGACUGAGUGGCGGACGGGUGAGUAACGCGUGGGUAACCUGCCCUGUACAGGGGGAUAACAGUCAGAAAUGACUGCUAAUACCGCAUAAGACCACAGCACCGCAUGGUGCAGGGGUAAAAACUCCGGUGGCACAGGAUGGACCCGCGUCUGAUUAGCUGGUUGGUGAGGUAACGGCUCACCAAGGCGACGAUCAGUAGCCGGCUUGAGAGAGUGAACGGCCACAUUGGGACUGAGACACGGCCCAAACUCCUACGGGAGGCAGCAGUGGGGAAUAUUGCACAAUGGGGGAAACCCUGAUGCAGCGACGCCGCGUGAGUGAAGAAGUAUUUCGGUAUGUAAAGCUCUAUCAGCAGGGAAGAAAAUGACGGUACCUGACUAAGAAGCCCCGGCUAACUACGUGCCAGCAGCCGCGGUAA